ensembl:lncRNA
GUAAGUAAGCACUGAGCCAAAUGUCCGCCAUAAACUGAUAUUCCAGAGGCUCUCCAUCCUUGCUACACCUGUCGCCAGAGUGGAAGUGCAAGUGUUGUAUUGCUCCAUGUCAUUAGACACAGAUAUCUUGGCCACAAUGGACUGAACCAGAGACUGGCUCCCUAGCUAAAAGCCAUAUGACAUAUAUGGUAGCCCAGUGGCUUACAAAGUAGCCAAGUGCCAGAUAAGUGUGCUCCUUUUUUGAAUGAAGACCAGCCAACCUAGUGAGAGCUUCUCUCUGGAGGAGUGAAUUAGUGACACAAGAAGUAAAAGGAAGAAAUAGAGGCAGGGUGGCCAUAGAGAGAACUCAAGAGUAGAGAGAGAAGCAGCUAGAAAAGAAGCGGAGUGUUGAGAACAGCAAAGUCACUAGAGUAGGUCCCGACAGGUGCUGUUGACAGAGAGGACAAGAGGAUCUUGGAGCUCCUGAGGAUCUGGAAUGAUGCUUCAAUUCCUUGUGAUACGUACUGUGGGAAAAUUGAGGUGCUUUCCUAACCCUCCUCAACUCCCCAAGGGUUUCUUGCGAGAUCCUGAUCACCUGAGGGAUCUCAAGCCUGUCUCCUCCUUCUGACCCAAAAUGAGUAAACUGAGACAAAAGGAGAUCAAGUAGAAUGGAAGCCUUCGUGUUGAAUGCACUGGAGGGGCCUUGGUGACUUGCUUGACAGAGUAUGGUGAAAAUGAUGCUGUGUGACUUCCACGCUUAAGUCACAAAGAUGCCACACCCUUCUGCCUUGUUCUUUUGUCACACUGCCUCUUGGAAUGUGGCCACAUGCUGCAAGGAAGCCCAAGCAAACUGUAGAGAUGCCACAUGGACAGAAACCAAGGCCCAUAGCCCCUAGUCCUGACUGAGCUCCCAGCUGGCACCAGCACCAACAUGCCAGCCAUGUGAAUGAACUACCUCCAGUCCCAGUCAAGCCACUCUACCUCACACCAUGUGGAGUAGAGAUGAGCCAUCUCUGUUGAGCACUUCCCAAUCACAGACACCUGUGCCCAGCUGAGACUGCCACCUCCCUACCCAAGGACAGAUAUUCUUCUGGUAAUGACAACCAAGUAAAGUGCAAGUGUUUGGAGCUAAUGGCUGCCUUGUUGCCCAGUGGAAGGUUGUAACUGUACGUUUGGGAGGUUUGUAUUUUUUGGGGAGAUUUAAAAGUAAGAGAAGAAUUCUUCCCUCCCCUCAAGGCUGUGUUGGCAUUUAUUUUUCCUGUCAUGGACAGUUUUUUGUUUCGUUUAUUGUUUGUGCUGUUAUUAUUAUGAGUAUUAUUAUUACUUUCCCUGAGGAGAAUUACACUGGAGCUUAGAAGGAGGGGGAGGUGAGGCUGCAAGGAAGAUAUGUAUGGUAGACCAAAGAAUAGGCCCCAAAUAUGUCCAGGUUCUAGCCCCUGGAACUGGUGACUCUGUCACCUUACAAGGAGAAGGGAAGUUAAAAGGCAAACAUUUUUAGAGUGAAUAGAAAAGUAGGACUCAACUAUAUCCUGUUUGCAAGAGACGCACUUUAAAUAUAAAAACACAAAUACUUUAAAAGCAAAAGAUGAGAAAAUGUGUACCCCAUUGCAAAUAGUAACUAUAAAAAAGCUGAGGGGCUGGCCCCAAGACCCAGUGGUUAAGUUCCCACGCUCCAAUUCAGCAGGCCAGGGUUUUGCUGGUUCAGGUCCUGGGUGCAGACAUGGUGCCGCUCGAUGGGCCACGUUGAGGUGGCAUCCCACAUGCCACGACUAGAAGGACCCACAACUAAAAUAUACAGCUAUGUCCUGGGGGGAUUUGGGGAGAAAAAGCAGAAAGAAAAAAAAAAGAUUGGCAACAGUUGUUAGCUCAGGUGCUAAUCUUUAAGAAGAAGAAGAAAAAAAAGCUGGUAUGGCAAAAUUAAUAUUGACCAAGUAACUUUCCAUACCAGAGAUAAUGAACAUUUCAUAAUGAAAAAAGGUCAAUUUAUCAAGAAGACAGAAUGAUCCUAUAUGUAAUAUACACCUAGAAGCAGAGCUAUAAAACUUACAAGCUAAACAGAGGAAUAGACAAAUUCAUAAUUACAGUGGAGUCAUUGAUAAAAACAUAAGUAAAAAAUCUGUAAUGAUAUAAGUUUGAACAAUAGUGACUUAUUUGUCAUAAUACAAAUUUAUAGAACACCACACCCAACAUUUGCAUAAGCAUAUUUUUUUAAGAUUCCAUGGAAACUACAUGAAGUGUACCACAUUAAACAUGACCACAAAUUAAUUGUCCCUUUUGCCAUCAAGAGGUAGAAUCUAUUUUCCCACCUUUUUAAUCUGAGCUGGGCUGUGAGUUGCUUUGACCAACUGAAUAUGGAAGAAUUGGUGUUAUACAACUUAUGAGUCAACAGAUUUGAGUCAAAUUCACUUUGACCCAACAGAUCUUUUAAAUCCCUAUGUUCAGAAAUUUAAGGAAAAGGGGAAAAAAAAAAAGAAAGCUGAUUUGGAGAGCUUUGUCUUGAGAUAACACUAAAACAACUAAGUGGAAGGUAGGGUACCAUAGAUUUGAAGAUAAAGGGAAUUUCAACAGGCUGCCGGAGUCAGCGCUCAGCUCUACCACUCACCAAAUGGGAAGCCUUUCACAUCUCACUUAGCCUCCGUCUGCCAGAGUUUCUUCAUCCAUAAAAUAGAAAUAAUAAACAUCCCCAAAAGUGCCUAGCACAGAGUAACGACUUAUUAAUGUUAAUGUGGUAAUGUUUUUAUUAAAUCAAGCACUCUGAAGGUCUCUGAAAAAAUCAUUAUAUUUAACUAUUAUAAUGAAAAAUUACAUUUAAGGAGGUAUUCAAUUGAUUUAUAUUCUGAAGCUGUGCCUUCAAAAACCGUUCUCAUCUGUAAUUUCCAAAUAAAAUUGCAUGUUUAAAAUAAUUCUAAAAUUAAAUAACAAUAACAAAUAAGUAAAGAUCAAAGCAACGGAAAUUUUAAGAGUGACAUGAUUCUGCUUCCAGAUCUAUCUGACCCCGUUCAUUGCCAGUGAAUUCCACUGGACUUCUUAAUUCAAGAGACAGUCCCUGGGUAAAGGAACUCUCAGCCAUAAAGGGAUUACUAAGAAACUGAAGCAGAGUGCUCUGUGAUGGGGUCCUCAUGGAGCCUGAGCAGGUAAGCAAUUUGCAACUUCACUAGGAUUUCUGAAACCAGCGCUCUCAACACUUAGUCGUCUUAGUAGAGCAGCAGCUCUGGGUCCUGGAGGUAAUCACAGAACAGUGCUUUCCCUCCCGCUAUCCCUCCCUUGUUCAGCUAGUUGGUGAUCUAGACUCUACAAGCUUCUAAGAUGUAACUGGAAAUAAUUUGAUGACUUGAAUAUGAUGAAGACACCUCUGGGAACACAUCUGGUUCCUACAGAGAAUUAUGCUGAGCAGUACCCAUGCCAUCUGGACCCAAGCUUGGAAGAGGCAGUCUUAGCAAAAGUUUUGAUGCUCAGAAUAAUGUGCUGGCACAUGAGCACAGACUGAAGAUCACGCCUGUGGUAGGCAGAGUAAGGGCCCCACAAAGAUGUCCUAAUUCCCCAAGCCUGCCAAUAUGUUACCUUACACGGCAGAAAGGACUUGGUGGAUGUGAUUGUUAAGGAUCUUGAGAUAGAUUAUCCUGGAUUAUCUGGGGGGACCAAAAGAAACUACAAGGGUCCUUAUAAGAUGGAGACAGGAGAGUCAAAGUAAGAGAGAUGUGACAGGGAAACAGAGGUUGGAGUGAUGAAAUGUGAAGAUGGAGGAACAGACUACAAGUCAAACAUUCUGAGUAGCCUCUGGAAGCCAGAGAAUUUGUUUCCUUCCCUUGAGCCUCCAAAAGGAACCAGCCCUGUUGAUUUUAGCUCCUUAAGAUCCAUUUUGGACUUCUGACCUCCAGAAAUGCAUGAUAAUAAAUUUGUGUUGUUUUAAGCCAUUUGUGGUGUAUGGUAGUUUGUUACAGCAGCAACAGGCAACUAAUAUAAGACAUUAUCAUUUGUUUGUUUCAUGAUCACGUGUCUCAACACUCUCCUUCUCAUGGAUUAAUCAAUCUCUCUCAGAGGGAAAGUCAGACUGAAAGGUUCUCAAUAAGUACCACUGAGACAUGGACUGCCACAGCUUCUGGUCCUUCCUUCAGGCCACAUUCCUCUGCUUCCCCCUCUUACACACACACACACACACACACACGACUCUCUUCUGUAGGCACUAAGUCUAGGUAGUGGAGUAUCCCAGAUACAUCUGGGACACCAGAAGUAAAGCUAUAGGGUCUCUUUUCCUCAUAGUUCCAUUAAACACCAGGAAAUGGGAACAAAAAGUGAAGCUGUGGAAAUCCAACCUGACUUAAUGAGAUUUAUUUGAAGCAUGGUGUCAAUAAGCUACAACUGCCAAAUCAAGACUCCUAACUCAUAUGCAUAUGAGUCUGAAAGACUAUUUAGGGGAAAAGUGUUUAAACACCUUCUCCAUGUGCAUUCAGUGUCCAUUCAGCUGUUAGUCUAAGAAGUUACUCCACAUUGAAGAACUCUCUGGCAAACUCCUGUAUCAAGUGUUUCUUUCUAAGUUGACAUUGGACCACUCAAUCUGGCUCUUUCUACACUCUCACUAUUUUUCUAGGUUGGGAGACCUCUACAUAACUAAAGGACUAAAAUUAGUUUAUUAGUCCUUUAGUUAUGGACUAAUUUUAUUUGACUCUACUGAUCACGAAUAUGUUACAGAAGGCAUUUAGGCAUUAACUGCAUGGGCAUUUUUGCAGCCCACAGAGGAGUCUCCAGGAAGCUGACAUAAAGAAAAAUUGAUUAUUCAAUAGCCAUUAGACCAAUUCUAGAUAUGCAGCGAUAAGAUUCAUCAUAGCCCGGUACAUUAAACCAGAAGCUUGUAGUGUCUUGCGGUGUUCCCAAAGCACUAAUUCCUUCCUCCUUUCAGGAGAUUUUAUUCCAGGCACAAAUGCCCUUAAGAUAUUUGUAGGGCUUUUUCCAGGAUCCCAGCUG